rnacentral:tRNA from 1 species
CAGAGAAUAGUUUAUAAAAAUAUUAAUUUUGGAGAUUAAAGAUAAAAGUAAUUUUUUUCUCUGA